rnacentral:rRNA from 1 species
UGGGGAAUAUUGCACAAUGGGCGCAAGCCUGAUGCAGCCAUGCCGCGUGUGUGAAGAAGGCCUUCGGGUUGUAAAGCACUUUCAGCGAGGAGGAAGGUGGUGAACUUAAUACGUUCAUCAAUUGACGUUACUCGCAGAAGAAGCACCGGCUAACUCCGUGCCAGCAGCCGCGGUAAUACGGAGGGUGCAAGCGUUAAUCGGAAUUACUGGGCGUAAAGCGCACGCAGGCGGUUUGUUAAGUCAGAUGUGAAAUCCCCGGGCUCAACCUGGGAACUGCAUUUGAAACUGGCAAGCUAGAGUCUCGUAGAGGGGGGUAGAAUUCCAGGUGUAGCGGUGAAAUGCGUAGAGAUCUGGAGGAAUACCGGUGGCGAAGGCGGCCCCCUGGACGAAGACUGACGCUCAGGUGCGAAAAGCGUGGGGAGCAAACAGGAUUAGAUACCCCUGGUGGUCCACGCUGUAAACGAUGUCGAUUUUGGAGGUUGUGCCCUUGAGGCGUGGCUUCCGGAGCUAACGCGUUAAAUCGACCGCCUGGGGAGUACGGCCGCAAGGUUAAAACUCAAAUGAAUUGACGGGGUCAUAGCUG